UACAGAGGUGGCAAGCGUUGUUCGGAAUUACUGGGCGUAAAGGGCGCGUAGGCGGCCAUCUAAGUCAGACGUGAAAUCCCCCGGCUUAACCUGGGAACUGCGUCUGAUACUGGACGGCUUGAGUGCGGGAGAGGGAUGUGGAAUUCCCCAAGUAGAGGUGAAAUUCGUAGAUAUUCGGAAGAACACCAGUGGCGAAGGCGGCUCACUGGUCCGGUACUGACGCUGAUGUGCGAAAGCGUGGGGAGCAAACAGG
rnacentral:rRNA from 1 species